ACAUAGAUGGAUACAGGACAAUUCAACAUAAUUAACAGUUGACGAUUAACUUGAUAACAUAACAAUGAGGGAAUGUCUUGGUGCUAUUUGUUGCACCCUGAAGGGUCCAGAAAAAAGAGGAAUUUACAAGUUACCCAGACAUUUCACAGAUAUGUUAUCUUAGAGGCAAGAAGACAAAUGGGCUCAGUAAAGAUCUAAGUUGAUCUUUGUCAGGGAAAACAUUGGCCUGGGACAUGAGAACCCACUAUAACCUGUGUGUAGUUAAAUAUUUAAUUUUCAGACCAUCUUUUGUGGUUAUUUUAGGUCUCUGAGUCUGCAAGACUGCCAUGCAGGCCUCCCCUGAGCUUGUGACCCCUGUUGUCCACACUACACAUGCUUAAAAAUGCAGUAAGCAACACACUGAAAAUUCUGUCUAUAUCCCAUGCGAAGCUACAUACAUAGGUCUCCCAGAGACAUUGCAGGGCCAUUUUAAACUGUCACAGAGAAUUGGAAGCCCAGCAUGCAAGUUAUCAUUUUCAAGGUCCUAGGUGUGUGGUGAUUUUGCUCAGGAAUAUAGAUCCAAGUACCCAAUUAGUCCGAAUAAGACCAGAACUGUAUGUGUGAGAGACAUGGAGAAUGGCAUGAAUCACUAACUGUUGGUAUGUAUUUUCCUCCAAGCAGCCUUUUCUCCGGAUUCACAUCUUCGUCUGACAUUGAUAUAGAGCAACGUGGAUAUUGGAGCAGGCGGUCGUUUUCACUCAAGCAUAGAUUUGGCAGGAAGAAAAGCCAGAAGGGGGAGCAGAAGGCACAGGAGCAGGAACCGUUCUUGAAAAUGGAGCGGAGUAAAUCUGCUGAUUCCUUAAGGAGGAUGGACACGUCCGAGUCUGCUUCUGACACAGGUGGGGAAACCAGCGCCUGAUACCUUCACAGAGCAAGGCCAUCUUCUGCCUAAUUAAACAUGUAUUGCAAAUGUGUCA